GACGAACUUUGGCGGCGUGCUUAACACAUGCAAGUCGAACGGAAAGGCCCUGCUUUUGUGGGGUGCUCGAGUGGCGAACGGGUGAGUAACACGUGAGUAACCUGCCCUUGACUUUGGGAUAACUUCAGGAAACUGGGGCUAAUACCGGAUAGGAGCUCCUGCUGCAUGGUGGGGGUUGGAAAGUUUCGGCGGUUGGGGAUGGACUCGCGGCUUAUCAGCUUGUUGGUGGGGUAGUGGCUUACCAAGGCUUUGACGGGUAGCCGGCCUGAGAGGGUGACCGGCCACAUUGGGACUGAGAUACGGCCCAGACUCCUACGGGAGGCAGCAGUGGGGAAUAUUGCACAAUGGGCGGAAGCCUGAUGCAGCAACGCCGCGUGCGGGAUGACGGCCUUCGGGUUGUAAACCGCUUUCGCCUGUGACGAAGCGUGAGUGACGGUAAUGGGUAAAGAAGCACCGGCUAACUACGUGCCAGCAGCCGCGGUGAUACGUAGGGUGCGAGCGUUGUCCGGAUUUAUCGGGCGUAAAGGGCUCGUAGGUGGUUGAUCGCGUCGGAAGUGUAAUCUUGGGGCUUAACCCUGAGCGUGCUUUCGAUACGGGUUGACUUGAGGAAGGUAGGGGAGAAUGGAAUUCCUGGUGGAGCGGUGGAAUGCGCAGAUAUCAGGAGGAACACCAGUGGCGAAGGCGGUUCUCUGGGCCUUUCCUGACGCUGAGGAGCGAAAGCGUGGGGAGCGAACAGGCUUAGAUACCCUGGUAGUCCACGCUGUAAACGGUGGGUACUAGGUGUGGGGUCCAUUCCACGGGUUCCGUGCCGUAGCUAACGCUUUAAGUACCCCGCCUGGGGAGUACGGCCGCAAGGCUAAAACUCAAAGGAAUUGACGGGGCCCCGCACAAGCGGCGGAGCAUGCGGAUUAAUUCGAUGCAACGCGUAGAACCUUACCUGGGUUUGACAUGGAUCGGGAGCGCUCAGAGAUGGGUGUGCCUCUUUUGGGGUCGGUUCACAGGUGGUGCAUGGCUGUCGUCAGCUCGUGUCGUGAGAUGUUGGGUUAAGUCCCGCAACGAGCGCAACCCUUGUUCACUGUUGCCAGCACGUUAUGGUGGGGACUCAGUGGAGACCGCCGGGGUCAACUCGGAGGAAGGUGGGGAUGACGUCAAGUCAUCAUGCCCCUUAUGUCCAGGGCUUCACGCAUGCUACAAUGGCUGGUACAGAGAGUGGCGAGCCUGUGAGGGUGAGCGAAUCUCGGAAAGCCGGUCUCGGUUCGGAUUGGGGUCUGCAACUCGACCUCAUGAAGUCGGAGUCGCUAGUAAUCGCAGAUCAGCAACGCUGCGGUGAAUACGUUCCCGGGGCU
rnacentral:rRNA from 1 species